GAUGAACGCUGGCGGCGUGCCUAAUACAUGCAAGUCGAGCGAAUGGAUUAAGAGCUUGCUCUUAUGAAGUUAGCGGCGGACGGGUGAGUAACACGUGGGUAACCUGCCCAUACGACUGGGAUAACUCCGGGAAACCGGGGCUAAUACCGGAUAACAUUUUGAACCGCAUGGUUCGAAAUUGAAAGGCGGCUUCGGCUGUCACUUAUGGAUGGACCCGCGUCGCAUUAGCUAUUUGGUGAGGUAACGGCUCACCAAGGCAACGAUGCGUAGCCGACCUGAGAGGGUGAUCGGCCACACUGGGACUGAGACACGGCCCAGACUCCUACGGGAGGCAGCAGUAGGGAAUCUUCCGCAAUGGACGAAAGUCUGACGGAGCAACGCCGCGUGAGUGAUGAAGGCUUUCGGGUCGUAAAACUCUGUUGUUAGGGAAGAACAAGUGCUAGUUGAAUAAGCUGACACCUUGACGGUACCUAACCAGAAAGCCACGGCUAACUACGUGCCAGCAGCCGCAGUAA
rnacentral:rRNA from 1 species